CAGCGCACUAAGCUUUCACUCUGAAACUCCAGUAACCAUCUGGACGCCUCGAGAGUCAGUGCUGGGCUGCUGGAGACGCAAAACUGCUCUUUUCUUCCCGGGCCAGUGGGGAAGGCUUCCAGAGGUGGGUGCUUUGUGCCAAACUUGAAGGGUGAGUGGGACUUCUCUGCAGUCCAGGGCAUUAACUCAUAGCAUGCUGAGUUCCAGUCCCAGUGUUGCUGCUCUCUGAGAACCUCCAGACAGUUUCUUUCUGUGGCAGAGUAGCAACAGCCUUGAUACCUGAGGUGUGUGGGGUUCACAAAAGUGGGCUCUUAGCGGUGCCUUCUGGUGCACUUUCCAGUGUCAAGGCAGUGUCAGAUGUUACUUCCUAUCUGCCUGCUCCCUUUUCUUCCCUCCUUGUCACCUUGUCUGCAUUCAGGUCCUCUCGAAGGAGGGGUUUGCACUGUGGCUCUGCUUGUGCCAAGAUGAAGGUCAGGUCCCACAUACCUCACAAGGCUCUCCUGCUUUGUGAUCCCGGCUGCCCCUGCCUGUUUUCUUGCCUUUAACAUCUGGAUCUUAGCCAGCCUACAAGCUCAUGGUGACCCAGCACAGCCCUUGAUGUGGCCUGCCAGCUCUGGCCUCCCUGUGCUUGCCCCAGCUUUUUUCACUCCACACCAGGUGGGUUGUGAGAAGCAGGGUGGAGGAGCACAGUGGACUUCUGAGAGGCACCCAUGCUAGCACCCUCAGUUUACCUUCCCUCCCCACUUCCUUCUUCCCUCUGUUUCUCUCAGGGCUCAGGAAGGAGCCUAUAUGAGCUCAUGUCUCAGAAACGCUUUGAAGAUGAGAAGCACUGAGCAUUUUCCCAACAGCCCUCAAUUUACUUUUUCAGCAUUCUCUCUGGGUUGUCAAGCCUUUGUAGUUAUUUUUAUAAAUAGCAAUCACGGGUUGCUUCCAUUUUUACCCAGGAAAACUCCACCUCCGGCCGGAAUGGGCUAUCAUCCUAAGGCAGACAGCCACCGGGCUGCCUUUGCCCCUGUUUCCCCUGAGCCACCGCUUCUUUUCACAUCUCUCCUGCUGCAGCAGAGCUCACCCUCACAGUCACUUCCCAUGCCACCCAUUUCCUGUUGGUCUCAACUAUUCCAGGCAAGAACUGUGCCACUGAGCUACACUCCCAAUAUUAGUCUUAAUAAGAAGAAGUCCAGGAAGUAUUUUCUCACUGACAUUGUUCAGAAUAGCUGGGGCAUGCUGAUAAUGAAUAGUAGACUGAUUAAUGGUGACUCCGGCAACUUGGGCUGCUAUAACAAAACACCAUAUCCUGGAUGACUUAGACAAAGGAGUAUUUAUCCACACAGCUCUGGAGCAGGAAGAUCCAAGACAAAAGUGCUGGCGGAUUUGGCUCCUAAUGAAGGCUUUCUUCCUGGCUGGCUGUGUCUUCUCACAGCAGAGAGAAGUCAUCACUUCUGUUACUUCUUGUAAGGGGAGUAAUCCUAUUGGGUCGGGCAGUUGCUCUUAUGACCUUAUUCAGUUGUAAUUACUUUUGUAAAUACUCUAUCUCUAAUUAUUUUGGGGUAGGGGCUUCAACAUGUGUUUUUGGGAGGGGUAUAGUCUAGUCCCUACAAGUAGGUUUAUUAUUGCUUUUAACUUCUCUACAGGCAGCAUACCCCUUAUUAUCUGCAGAAAGGCAGAUCACUUUCACUGUCCAUAUCUCCUGGAACACCUUGGAUACAUAUGCAUUUUCCUUUUGAAGAACUGUGGAAAAGAAACACUUGCAGUCUCAUUACCAUAAUCAUUAUCACAAAGAAUAUUCAUAAUGUGGUCACUACUCAAAGAAUGCCACUGAUUUUCUCCCCAGUUUGACUGAGUGAGACUUAAUCUCUUUAUUAAAAAUAGUAUCAAUGUCCCAGAGGAAAAGAAAGGCUGAGCCUCUGUGUAAGCAUCUCAGCUUCCCCAGAAUAUAUGUGUUUCUUUCUGGAAAAGUAUCUUCCUUUCUGUUUUUUGUAUAUUUGGGGUUGUUUGUUGUUGUUGUUUUGAGACAGGAGUUCACUGUAGUUCAGGCUGGCCUUGAACUCACUGUGUAGUCCACGCUAGUGCUGGGACAAUAAGUGUGUGCCACAGCCAUCUGGCUGUGGGUCUUGCUUUCUGAAAGGUCUACUCCAUUCUACAUUUUAAUGAUUGCCUAUGUAUCAGGUACUUUGUGAAUGUUAUUUUAUGGAACAUUCCUAACCACCCAGCAAGAAGAAAUGGCUUCUCCCAUUUUACAGAUAAGAAAACAGACUCAGAUUAAGCAAUUUAGGGCGAAGAUUGUAGCUCAGUGUAGAGUACUUAUCUGUCAUAUGUGAGCUUCUGGGCUCCAUCCCUAACAUUUCAAAUAAUAUAAAGAAUUUUUUUAAAAAAAUAUAUAAUUGUAAAUUAAGUAAUUUGCUCAGUAGAUUGAACUUCUUGGGAUACAAACAUGAAAUGAUUCUGAUUUUGUCCCUACAUCUUUUGGAGGUUAAUACCAAACCUCCCUUUUUACAACCCUUAGUAAACACAAACACUAACAAAAACAAACAAAGCCACCCAUCCUGAACAGUCUAGAGCUCACACUGAGUGGGAUGUAAUGUUACCAGGACCACCCCUCGUGGCUAGGAGUCUGGGAUGAGGCAGACUGUGGCUGCUCUGUACCUCACUGUCUUUGGCUCUUUUCUCUUCCCUUGCUUGAGAACUUGGAGAAGAACAGAAGAGGCAGGAGAAGAUGAGAAUCUCUGUGCUUCACUGAGCAUUUGAUUGCAAGUCUCCUCUGCAGGAUUUGUGGGUUCUUGAUGGCUUUUUUUCAGGUGGAAGUCAAAACUGCCAUCUCCUAAGGGAAUAUUUGGGACCUGCCUUCUGCCUCUCUUCAGCACUCCCUGGUAGCCAGAGUCCCUUUGUCUGGAAUCUUCUCUUCAUGUGUAUGUGGGGGUGGGGUAGGGGAUGCUGAUGAGGAAAGCUUCAGAAAAAUAAUGCCUUACAGAACUUGGGGAUGCUUGGGGAGCAUAUGAACUGCUAGCUUGCAAACUCCAUUCUGCCCACACCUUAUUUCUAGCCCAGGAACAUGCUUUCACAAGCACCUACCAUCUGGAAGGGCAACUCUCUUGCCCUUGACUGCAGAGAAUUCCCAAAUACUUCCCAAUGUAGCUCUUCUCCUACUCCAGUGAAUUCCUCCCUGGAAUCUCUUCUUUCCUUUACAUAGUCUAAGCUGCUGUUAGGGCUGGGGUGUAGUUGGCUCUAACAGAGCUGAGUUGGAACAUUUAUACUGGCUAAGCAUAGUGCAUUUAUUUUUAUUGCUGUAAAGUCCACACAACAUGAAGUUAAGCAUUCAAAAGUGGCAUUUUGUAUAGUCACAAUGUUGCAGAACCACCACUUCUAUCUAAUUUCAAGAUAUAUUUAUCACCUCCACUUCAUUACUGUACCCGUUGAUCAGUGAUUCCUCAUUCCCUCUUUCCUUCCCCCAGUCACCAUCAAUCUGCUUUCCACUUCAAUGGGUUACAAGUGUAGUGCAUUUUGAUGGUUGGAAUUUACUUUUCCUAAGUUAUGGUUUGUAUUUAGACGUUCUCCUGAGGCUUCAUAUGAUCAUAGGCAGGACCUUUGGAAGGUUAUUGGAUUAUAGGCAUUAUAGCCAACUUACUGUCAGGAGGUACGGUCUGGUUGGAAGGAGCGGGUCACUCUGGACGUGAUGUAGAAGGUUAUAUUUCUCUUCUUGGUUUCAUUUUUUACUUCUCUGUUUCUCUAUCAUCUUGCUGUGAGCAGCUUUCCUCUGCAAUAGUAUCCUGUCAGCCAACUAUGGAAUGAAACGUGAGCCGAUAUAAACCACUCCUUCUUUAAAUAGUAGGUGUUUCGGCAAGUGACUAAGUCAGAUUUUUGUUCAAGGAGUGGGGUUGGUGCUGUGACACUACCUUACCAUAUGGUUUAGAAGCUUUUGGAACUGGCUCAAAGGAGGAGUUUGGAUGCUGGCUGAAGAAGCAACCCUAGAAUACUAUAAACUGAGCUUGACAGGAAAUUCUGGUCAGAGCUCAGAAGACCAGAAUGCUGAUUUUAAAAGGAGGUGAAAAAGGCUAACCUCAGGAGAUUUUAACUGAGAACCAGGAUUGCAUCAGCAGUUGGACUCCAGGCUAUGCAUGUUAUCUUCUGGCAGAAAAUUUGUCUGCAUUUUUCUCAUGCCCUAAGAUUGAGAUUAAGGGUGGUAGACAACUUUGGCUGAGGAAAUUUCAAGGUAGCUCAGCAUUCAGUCUGUGGCAUGGGGACCUUUACGGGCUUUUAACCUUCUCUAAAUUGAGAAUUAAGAGCAAACGGCAUGCUAAGUGCUUUAAAAAUAUUUGACUUUGGCCAGAAAGAAAGCUUCAGUAAAGUCAGGGCCUGCAAAGAUGGAGCAGAGGUGAACUUGGUUGCUGAAAAGACUAUCAUUAGAAAAGAGUCGAGUACAUUUGAUCAGGAGGUUAGGAAAAGUGAUUUGAGGGAAUGUGGAAAAGCCUGUAAAAUUCCACCCUUCCAAGGAUCAAAACUGAAAAGAUGAAAGACUUCAUCUUGAGAAGAAAGCCCCCAGAGUCCCAUGUUCUAGAACUGAGAUCAUCUGUAUUGCUCUCACCAUAUUGUUUUGACUGAUUUUCCUCUAUUCUUUCUUGUUUGAUACUACCAAGCUUGAGAGUAUAGGCAACAACUGUGAAGACAAUAAGAUUCAUUAUGAUGCCCAUUCUGGUUUGACUAUUAUCUUCUUUUGAAGUCCUGUAAUGUCUCCAAUAUUUUAGUUUUAUUGGUUUUGUUCUUUACUGCUUUGUUCAAUUUUAUUAUAACUGAUGAUAUAGGCACUUCUUUUUAAGAUAGCAAGAGGCAUUAUGGUAAUCAAGGUUGAUCACUUUGUAUUUUGUUUUUACAGUAUGUAUUAUGUCCCUCCUUUUGAUUUGACUGACUCUGUUUUGUUACCUCACAUUUGGUUUUAUUUUCUUCAAAAAAAGUAAUAAGAACUGUGGGAGUAAUAAAACACAAAAUGUGUAAUUGUCAUUGUACAAAAGAAAGGAAAAGAAAGUGCUCUAAAGGAUAUAACUGCAUGUAUAUUUAAGUGUAUAAGAUAGAUAACCAUAUUACUGAGUUUUGUUGGAUCAUUGAACAGAACUGUUUGCAGUCUCACUGUUUGAAUGUCCACUUUGUAUGCUUUGACUUUGUAACUUGAACAGCUAUUUCUAAGAUGACAAUAUGUAAUCUGUUAGCAAGUGAUUUCCUACUGUUUGUUUUUUCUGAGAUUCUGUAUAACUUGUACCCUUUUUUUGUUUUUUUAAAUUAAAAAAUAAAUAAAGUUUUAAAAAUUAAAAAUUUUAAAAAAAGAGUUGUAGGGUCAAGGAGGCUUCCACUCAAAUUUCAAAAGAAGGGAUGGG
ensembl:lincRNA